GCCACCUCACUGCUCCGUGUCUGCGCUGUGACUCAAGUCUGCUACAGGCAGGUCGUCUCUUCAGGUUGAGCUUCCUCACCUGCACAGAUGCUAUGUAUAAAAAGAGCUCACACCAGAGACCUACAUACGUGACCACAGAGUUCCUGUUGUCGGCCUUUGGUGAAUCAUAAUGUCCAUCCUGACAGGAAGGUGAACAUCAUCUGCAGUCUUUUUGUCUUCAUUCUUGGCUCUAAUGUCACUAAAGGUUUCAUCCAUGAAGCCGUUCAGGAGAAUCAGCAGGUCAUUCUGAGCUGCCGUCGCUCUGUAAGGGGCAAAGUGACGUGGAGCAGAGAGAGUGCUGGAAGGCGGGUCCCUGUACAUUCAGAGAGCUGCCGUCUCAGACUCGGGGACAGCUGACCGUGAUC